rnacentral:lncRNA from 1 species
AUGUUGCUUGCUUCAAAAAUUUUCUCCUGCAAUUGUAGCUAGAGAAUACAUGUGGUGGAAUCCUACAUAGUAGUAGUUCGUAAGAAUAAGGGUGUGUUUAGUUUCAUGCCAAAAUUAAAAGUUUGAAGAAAAAAGCUGGAAGUUUAUGUGUGUAGGAAAGUUUUAAUGUGAUGGAAUAGUUGAAAGUUUGAAGAAAAAGUUGGGAACUAAACAAGGGCUAAGAUGGCCGAAGGGAUAUUUUCUGACGAGGCGAUAGACAUCCAUGAGUGGUGUAAACAAUAGACGCACACAUCAUGGCUAUGGAACUUUGUUGUGUGUGCUGCUGCUACAGCAACAUUUCCAGGUGCAUUCGUGUCUCAUGCUCGGGCAGUGGUAGUCGUACUUCCAUUUUCCAGUAGCCCUGUUUAUUCUAUGUACUACUAAGCUUCGACAUUCUUCUGCAUCUGUAUCUCCUGAGUCCUGACACCUCUCAUGCCGAUCGAGACCAAAAGGUUUUUUUGCUGACCAGCUCUACCCAAAGAACGAACAGGAUGACGAUCGAAGAAGAUGAGGAAGAGGCAAGUGAAUUGGCUGCGUAUGUUCGUAGGUAUCAGCUGGUUCAGGUUUAAAACGAUGGGAGCGACAGUUAAAAGAUGAGCCAGAGAAGGGAGGAGUAAACACAGGCCUUUGGCAUGUAUGCAAUAUUAGCGGUAUAUACAGCCCCAUCGUUUAGUAUAUUGGAGAAAAAAAAUGAAACUAUAUAUUUAGGCUCUCAUCGGUUGGCCUAAUCAGCCAAAGAAAAAACCAAAAUUUGAAUUUUCAAGCUUAAUUUUGAGAUAUUUUCAACGUAGUAAUUUCUUUUUCAAUAUUGGUUUUUAAGUCACCAAGAACACAUUUAUAAAAGUUUUAUGUACAAAUUUAUUUUUAUUUCCUAAUAAGCCGUUUUGGCUUGAUGGGGACCUUACAAAUGAAACAUAAUUUGUGAAUAAAACUUUUAUAUACAUGUUCUUUACGAUUUAAAAGCAAAAGCUGAAAAAUAAACGACGUUGAGAAAAAACCCAAAAUCAACUCUGAAUUUAAAAUUGAAAAUAUAAAUUUUGGCUGAUAAGUAUAAGUAUAAUUGAAAAGAUGAGGUUGCUAGUCUGGAUCAGGUGUAAGAGCAUCUCCAACAGAUUGGCUAUUUUGAGCUCUCUAAAUGAGCAUUUGGCCAGUCAUCUAAAAAAUUUGAGAGCCAAAUUUACCUUUUAGUCCAACAGUCUCUCCAUUCACAUUCUCCAAUUUAACAUUGGGUCCCACAAGUAAGUCUCUCUUCCUCCUCCUCCUCCUUUCUUCUCCCAUGCCAAAUCCUAUCCCGGCAGCAGCGGCGGUGGAGGGCUGGAGGCUCGUGAUGAUGAGACAUGGGGCGCGGAGGACGGCGGCAGUCACGGAGGGCGGCGGUCACGGAGGCUCGCGACGACGAUGACCUGGGCCGCGGAGGGCCGCGGUCGUGGCCAGGGACUGCGCAGAGGGCUGCGGUCGAGGCCGGCGACGGUGCGGAAGGCGGCGGUCACGGCGGCCGGGGACCGCGCGGAGGGCCGCGGUCGAGGGCAGCGGUCGCGGCAGCCGGGGACCGCG